UACGGAGGGUGCGAGCGUUGUCCGGAAUCACUGGGCGUAAAGGGUGCGUAGGCGGUCGGGUAAGUCUGAUGUGAAAUCUCACAGCUUAACUGUGAAACUGCAUUGGAUACUAUCCGGCUCGAGGAAUGGAGGGGAGACUGGAAUACUUGGUGUAGCAGUGAAAUGCGUAGAUAUCAAGUGGAACACCAGUGGCGAAGGCGAGUCUCUGGGCAUUUCCUGACGCUGAGGCACGAAAGCCAGGGGAGCAAACGGG
rnacentral:rRNA from 1 species